CCUGCCUGGAAACGGGGUGGGAAUCCGCGUCACCGUUAGCAGCUAAAAUAACUAGCGUGCCGGGCGAAAACAAGAUUAUUUUGACGAUGAAAAUAUUCUUGAAGGAUUAAAGGGGCGCUGAAGUUGACGACCACGGGAGAGGGAAAGCAGAGAGCGGCUCCGACGACAGGAGACGCAUUCCUUGUGUGUUUUUUUGGGUUUCGUAUCUCAAAAAAACUCGUAAGUCGGGUCACCGCUCUCAGGAGCCACCGCUGGAAUUCCGAAUCGCACGUCUGCAGAACACUGACGGUACCCCGUACUGAUACCUCGACUUACAAGUUGAAGUUGUUCCAUGACCGAGCUCAUGAGCUUGAAGUCGAGAGAUGCGGACGGUCGCCUUGACGACGUCCUGUCCCGCAUCGCCAUGGAGACACAAGAGAUCCAAGAGCUGGAGCAGCAGCUGACAGACGGGCAGAUUUUGGCCAACGAGCUUCUGCAGAAGGACCUGGAGGGAAUCCUCGAUGGACUUCCGGAAUAUCUCCGAGGACUUCGACUCAAGGCCAGUGACCUGCAGGCUGAGAAUGAAGGACAUCAGCGCCACCCGGAGGACGCUCAGAGUCGCCGCAGGCAGCUCGACGACUCCGCCCGCGCGCAGCGAGCGCGUCUGACGUUCGGCGACGUGCGGCCGCAGAAGACGGCCGCCCGGCAGGAGGCGCCGGCGGCGCCGAAGACAGAGGCUCGGGCUCUGAAAAGGCAGAAGGCGGGGCCGGAGGCGGAGCUGAGGAAGUCGAGGGAGGAGCUAAACCAACAGUUCAGACCGCGGAAACCCGGCGCUGCUGCUUCCUGUUGUUAUCGCGCGAUGCCAAUAACGCAGCGAAGCAGCCCCACAAGCAGCGCAGCCCGAACCCAGGAGAAAAUGGUCGGACCGCAGGACCGGCCGGAAGACCGGAGAGCAGGAAGCGUCGCGACUGGGAGGACGUCCAGAGGAAAAGACGCUUCUUGUCCGUCGGGGGGCGCCGCACGCGCUCACGUGGACCCGUUGCGACACGACAAAAACAACACGAAGAAGAAACCGCAACAGGGAAACCAACAGCUACACCGCACGAACAGGUUUGCGUGUGAGAGAGAUGCGCGCGCACGUGAUGACUUGACAACAGUGUGCGCGCGUGUGCUGCGCGUAUGCGGCGAGGCGCGUUGCGUGGAGCGAACGCUGGACAAGAGACGAGCCGAACUUCGCGAGGCCGACAGACGACUGACGGACGCGCGGGCGCGUUUCCGCACCGAGCAGGUGCGCGCGCGCACACACGGGCCGCGGCACAAGGCGGGAAGCAAAAGUGCGUUUGUGUUCCAGGCGGCGUCCCGGCGCAGCGCCACCUGCCUGAAGCAGAUCGCACUGCGCCUCAGAGUUCUUCGCGAUGAGGAGGCGGAGCUUAGCAGGAGGAUGAGGGCGGAGCAUCAGCGUCUGAGAGAAGUGAAGGCGGAGCUAAAGGAUCGAGAGGCGGAGUCCCAAGCGCUUUGCACGACAAUACACAUGGCCACGCACAAACUAUCUGAGCUCACGUCCGCGUGUCAGGAGGCUCGUGCAUGUUUGGAUUGGACCCUCACUCAGGUGGCGCUAAAAACCACAUCCAAAGAUUCAUCAUCAACUCGCAAAUCAACAAAAACACACAAGAUGUGAGCGCCACACGCUGGAUUAUGGCGGCAUCGCACAGACAACAACAAAAGUCAACACGGAGAUGACGAAGAUGAGAUGAGGAGCGACAGUAUCUGCACCGCAGCGGGCCGCCGGUCCUUGCCACAAAGAGGCAGCAAAUGACUCACUUCCUGCUUGGAACAACACGUCGACAGCGCCAAUGUGCGCGUGUGCGUGCUGACCGUGGCCACGCCGCCGUCAAGAUGCAUUCGAGGGCCCGGAGCGCGAAGAUUCUGGUGACCUCUUCCGGGGCGUCGCUGACCUCCAGGUAGGCCGGCACCACGCGACCGAGACGACGUAAGUGACGACACGCGGACACGCCCAUCCUAAACACGCACACACGCACGAUGAUGUCUGACGGGACGCACGCACGCAAGCAAGCACACGUUACCUUUCCAAGUAGGCCGGCAGCGCCCGCGCGUAGACUCUCCUCAGCGCCACCUCGUGUUCGGCCUCCAUGUGCGUGAGCAUCAGACGCAGCACGUCGUCACGGCGACGGGCCCUCCCGGGGGCCGGCGAGGGACCGACGGGGACCGACGAGGGGGGGCUCUCCAAAACCGGCAGCAGGUCCAACAGACAACGCAACACAAGCUGCGCACGCACGCAACAACUGGUGUUAGUCAGGUGUGGUCGCCAUGGCAACGUGCGCGUGCGUGCGAUACCUGGAUGACGUCGGCGUUUUUUGUGCCGUACAGAAGUUUGACCAACGCCUCGUACAUCACGUCCGCCCGCUUCAACGCGCGCAACUCGCUAGAAGCCUAAAGACACAUGCGUGCGCACACACGAAGGACAUGAUUCACAUUACGUCUCACACACACACAACUAAAACAUUCAAACAAGUAAAACGCGCACACGCAGUGAAAUGUGUCUCAGUAUAAUGUGUGAAUGUGUGAGUUUCAGGUAUGAUUUUUUUCAGCUGUGUUUUUGUAGUGUGUGUGUGUGUGUGUUUUCCUUUCAAGAAGUCUGUGUGAGAAUAUUUCUGUCGUGUGUGCCCGAGAGCUUUUCACGAGUCUAGAUAAGUGGGAGAAAAAACAUCUAUUGUGUGUGUGUGUGUGUGUGUGUGAGCAUUUCCGUUGUGACUGUGAGUGUGUGUGUGUGUGUGUGUGUGUGUGCGUGUGCGUGUGUGUGUGCGCUCGCGUGCGCGCUCACCGUGUUGACGACAAUGUGGUGCAGGCAGCGAACUCCCAGCAUGCACUUUUUGGGCUCGUGGUGGUCGCUGAUGAGGAGGGCGGGGCCCAGGAGGCGGGGCAGGUGAGGGGCCAGGGAGGGGCGUUUCACCUGCGCCCACAAUGACAUCACUCAAGCUCAGCUAAUGGGGCGCGAGAACAGACUUUGGCGCCAUAAAUAUGAACAUAGAACGAUUGGACACGCCCCUUUUGAGACACUAAGCUAGAAGGUGAAAGUUGUUCACAUGUUCUCCCCGUGCCUGCGUGGCUUUUCUCCGGGCACUCCGCUUUCCUCCCACAUCCCACAAACAUGCAUGCUAGGUUCAUUGAAGACUCUAAAUUGCCCGUAGGUGUGAAAGUGAGUGCCAAUGGUGGUUUGUUUAUGUGUGCCCCGCGAUUGGCUGGCAACCAGGUCAGGGUGUACCCCGCCUCCUGCCCGAAGAUAGCUGGGAUAGGCUCCAGCACGCCCGCGACCCGCGUGAGGAGAGGCGGUAAAAGAAAAUGGAUGGAUGGAUUGAUUUUUAGAUAGAUGUCAAUGAGAGCAUUUGAGUAGUGUUAAUGAGAGCAAGACUCAUGCGUAUGAGAGUGUUUGAGUACUCCUCAGGAGAGCCCUUUAGUAGUUUGUGUGUGUGUGAAAGCAUUUGAAUUGUAAGUGUGAGCGCUAACCCUGAAUAAGGUCCCUAACGACCCCUCACACCAAAAAGAUGCCGCGCAUUGCGCCGCGAACGCUCACGUACGAUCACGACAAGGGUAGCGGGAGCACGCUUUCGACGGUCAGAGUUUGUAUUUCUUUUUCCAGUUGCGAUGUGAACAAGUUACAAACAAGGCCCGCGGCUCGCGCGGAGACCAUCGGGCGGUUUUUUGGCGCCGAUUUUUGCUUUACCCGACCGAGGCCGACGAACGCCGGACGAUCUCCUGUCUUCUACGAUGAUCCUGUAAGAUGAUCGAUCGAUCGUGCGCUUUAAGGCGUGCGAAAAGCAAAUUUGCCUCAAUCCCGAUAAUCCGGUCCCAAACGGAUCGGGGCCGACAACCUUAAAUAUCCAACACGACCGAGAAUCUUCGUGCGUGAGAAAAGCCAACAUCUCCGGAGUCACGACGCCGAGAAGCGUAGCCGAUGGAGAAGGGCCCUGAUUCGGCAACAAGGAAGCGACCGUAAACCAAAACGAACCCAUCUUAGCCGAUGUUGUUGUUUUAGUAUCGAAGCGGCUCCCCCGCACGGCACAGAGUCAUUUUAUUUAUCGACACCGCUUCCGCCGCCGUUCCUUUCGGCGACGGGCGGCAAACGUCGGCGCGUGGCCGUGUCAGGCCGUCUUCGCUUUUGCGAGAUCACGUCUGAUCACGCGAGAUUUCGAGACCGCCGGCGGAACGGAAUCUUUGCGUGUGCGGUGUUGUGUGGAGAUGAUCUGUGAAAUGCCUGAUUUUGGCUCUUCGUGUGUGGGCUCUGUAGCAGAUCCAAAUAAAUCUUGUGCAAACUUUACGCGGGGGGCAGGCCUUCGUUUCGAUGUCCACGCAUUUUGCCUUUGACGGGAACGUCGCCCCCCGGGGGCUAGCCGGGCCGCUAAAGGGCGCCGGCGGAUCGGGUCUUCGGAUGUGUAAUUGCCGUCUUUUGACGCGUGAUGAUUACGGUGGCCGAGACAGGUGACAACAAAUGCAAACGGGCAACAAAACGCAUUGAAACACACCGAACGCGAGCGCCCGCUUCCUCCGACGGUCUAACCGCUCCAGGUUAGCGGGAACGACGGACCGAGUGACGAAAUCUGAGACUUGUGCGAGUUUGAAUGAACUGAGUGGAUGACGGUUCUUAAAAAAGUGCUUACUUUCCAAAAUAGCUCGGAAGUCACUUGAACUGGGAUUUUCGGGGAGGAAAUGGCGGCGUUGAAGCGUUUUCCACUGGAACGGAUCACGUCCGCGUGACGAUUCGGCAGAGUGCGUCUUGUGAAGUAUGCGUGUGUCCUGAAUGAGACAAAGUACAACGUGGCCCACGUUGGCUGGCCAUGUAGGAAGCUUCUCGGGAAAUGAAUUAUUAUUUUGCUAUCGAAAGCCAUUCUUAAAUGAAAGCAAAUCGAAUGUUCAUGGUCACGGCGAUCCCGGCUGAGCCCGAUCGGCAACCGCGCGAGCUUUUUAGAAAGCGAGCUUGUCGAAGGCAGUAAAUUGUGUCACCUUUGAGCAUAAGCAGAACAUUUCCAAUACAUUUAUUUGCCCGCUCCCAAAACAGAACACUGAAAAAAAAACCCACCUGAAAUUAGCCAUAAUUUGCUCAUUUUCAUUUUUUACUACUUUCAGUCCCCUCACGUAAUGUUUGGCACUGGGCAAACAAAUGUGUGUGAACUAAAUCUGUCUUUUUUAAUUUGAAACUAUUCAUGUUGUAUAUAACUUUAUUUCUCUAGGUCUUUUCAUUGAAGCCAACCUGUUUUUAUUUGUGUUUGUUUUGUCCCCAGAGAACGCGUGCCAAUCACCCUGGAGAGAUACAAAAACAUCACGACAUGUAUUUUAUUUUGCGGUUGAAAAAUGUCAAUUUAUUUUUUUACUUAAGUAUAUUCAUGUGUGUACUUUUGUACUUUUACAUAAGUAAGGAAGUGGCUUGAGUACUGAAUACGAAUACUAUUGCCAUCUCAUUGAACGAGCUCAUCGAAGUCACGACAAGGACCGACACGGUCGAAGCUUUUCAAACGCGUGCGGUCGUCUUUUGGUGAUGCGGCGAGAGCGAGCCAUCUACCUCCGAUCCCAACUUUUAUUUCAUUACGAUCAUCUUCGACGCCUUAACGUGCGCGAUGCCGUUCGCCUUUCCGUCGCGAGCCGUCUCGGCCACCGUAACGAUGUCGCGGAGCUGUCCGGCCGCAUUGCGGUUAACGCGGUUCAUCUGCUUCGUUACCUGGAAGAGCGUCCACGCGAACGCCGACUCGACCUCGUCGCCCCGCUGCCACGCUUCCCUUCAACACGGGCACACGCGCUUUCGUAAGACGUUAUAAAACUCUUUGAUGAAUAAUUGACGGUCGGCGUCGUCACUUGGUGAGUCGAGGCCGCAGGACGUCCAGGACGGCUUCCAGAAUCCCACCGGCGCCGGCCUUUGCCCCGUUGGCACCGGCCCGUUCCCCCGUCAGCAUGUGGGCGCAGUCUCGCCAGCUUCCCGCUCCGAGCAACGACGCUCGAAGACGACGGGCCGCUUCUCGGGACGCGCGGCUCGUCCACGGCUGCUCCUGCGCCCGGAAAGAAACGCACAUACAGGAACUCGGACACAAACAAGAUACACACACAAAUUGUGACAACUGGAAAAAUGGCGUGCACGUGAGCGCUUGAGUGUGUGCGCGCGCGCGCAUUCUUACCUGCGUGUGCGUGACGGCGUACGCACACACAUGCGGCGCCACGGCCAUGAGGACCCCUCGGGCGCGUCUGUCCGGGCCCGCCGCCUCCACUUUUCCCAGCAGGCCUCGCAGGGCGCCGCACACGCGGGCGGCCACGUCGGGCACGCGCGCGUAGCGAUCGGGCGUCGGGGGGCCGUCGCGGGCGCGCUCGUACGCCGGCAGAGCGGCGCGGCCGAUCAGAGCGCAGACGGCAGAGACGUACGCCGCCUCCAGAGCCGCUUCCCCGUCGGCCGAGUCGAACAGCCGAUGAGGUUCGGCCGUUCGGAAGAAGCCGGCGACCGUAUCCACGAGAAGGCUCGGGUCCGGCGGUCCGCCGAUCAGACGCUGCUGCAGUUUGGACAACAACGCUGUGAUCGGCGGGAGGGUCUCGUCGUCGUCGCCGUCCAGAUGAAGCUCGUCAAGUAACCGUGAAAAUUCAGUCAUGGCCGUCUGAAACGCGACAAGAACUGCAUCAUUGACUUUACAUAUGAAGUUGGUAUUUUUAUUUUCCAAUUGAAAUAUUUGAUUUGCUUACUUUUUAUAUUUCUACAUAUAAAAAUUACUGUUUCCUAUAUCUUGUUUACAAAUGUUUCAUUCAAACAUAUUUUUUUCC